CGUAAAGCGAGCGUAGGUGGCUUGAUAAGUCAGAUGUGAAAGCCCCGGGCUCAACCUGGGAACGGCAUCUGAUACUGUUAGGCUAGAGUAGGUGAGAGGAAGGUAGAAUUCCAGGUGUAUGGGUGAAAUGCGUAGAGAUCUGGAGGAAUACCGAUGGCGAAGGCAGCCUUCUGGCAUCAUACUGACACUGAGGUUCGAAAGCGUGGGUAGCAAACAGGAUUAGAUACCCUGGUAGUCCACGCCGUAAACGAUGUCUACUAGUCGUUGGGUCCCUUGAGGACUUAGUGACGCAGCUAACGCAAUAAGUAGACCGCCUGGGGAGUACGGCCGCAAGGUUAAAACUCAAAUGAAUUGACGGGGGCCCGCACAAGCGGUGGAGCAUGUGGUUUAAUUCGAUGCAACGCGAAGAACCUUACCUGGUCUUGACAUAUCUAGAAUCCUGCAGAGAUGCGGGAGUGCCUUCGGGAAUUAGAAUACAGGUGCUGCAUGGCUGUCGUCAGCUCGUGUCGUGAGAUGUUGGGUUAAGUCCCGCAACGAGCGCAACCCUUGUCCUUAGUUACCAGCGGUUUGGCCGGGAACUCUAAGGAUACUGCCAGUGACAAACUGGAGGAAGGUGGGGACGACGUCAAGUCAUCAUGGCCCUUACGACCAGGGCUACACACGUGCUACAAUGGUAGGUACAGAGGGCAGCUACACAGCGAUGUGAUGCGAAUCUCAAAAAGCCUAUCGUAGUCCAGAUUGGAGUCUGCAACUCGACUCCAUGAAGUAGGAAUCGCUAGUAAUCG
rnacentral:rRNA from 1 species